AUGGACUCCGCCGACGAGUUCCUUUUCCAUAAUUUCAUUUGCGACUCCGAUGAUUCGUCGUCCGAUGACGAGGAGGAGAUAUUGGCUGCCGUGUUUGUCCAUCACCACCUCAACAACCAGCGACCGUUGUUCCGUGGCUUAAUUUCAGGCCACCUUCCGGCGUUGAAUCGUAACCGAGAGAGCGGGCAUUUCCUUCUCUGGAAGGACUACUUUGAUACAACAAACUUGUUGUUCAAACAUCAUCAAUUCCACCGCCGGUUCCGUAUGAGUAGGCAUGUUUUCAACCGUAUUAGAGAGGGAGUGGUCGGCUAUGAUGACUACUUCGAGUGCAAAGAGGAUGCUAUCGGCAAGAUUGGUUUCUCCUCUUAUCAAAAAUGCACUACCGCCAUCCGAAUGCUUGCAUACGGAGUGCCCGGUGAUCUCAUUGACGAGUACGUCCGUAUGAGCGAGUCUACAUGCCUAGAGUCCCUGUAUAAGUUCUGCAAGGCUGUGAUUGCUGUGUUUGGCCCUGAGUACUUGAGAGAGCCGACAGCUGUAGAUACAGCCCGUUUGUUGGCGAUGAAUGCUAGCAGGGGCUUCCCGGGGAUGCUUGGCAGCAUAGACUGCAUGCACUGGGAGUGGAAGAACUUCCCUUCUGCUUGGCAGGGGCAGUAUAAGGGACAUGUCAGGGCUUGCACUAUCAUAUUAGAGGCCGUGGCAUCUCAAGAUCUCUGGAUCUGGCACUCUUUCUUUGGCGUGGCUGGAUCACACAAUGAUAUCAACGUGCUCCAGCGCUCGCCGGUGUUUGCUAGUCUUGCCAAAGGCAACAGCCCACCGGUGAACUUUACUGUCAACGACCACAACUAUGAAAAAGGGUACUAUUUGGGUGACGGUAUCUAUCCUCAAUGGACCACUAAUGUAAAGACAAUACCCGACCCUGUUGGAGAGAAAAGGAAAAGAUUUGCCCAAGAGCAAGAGAGUGCUAGAAAGGAUGUCGAGCGUGCCUUUGGUGUUUUGCAAUCUCGAUGGGGCAUCGUUCGGUAUCCUGCUAAUACUUGGAGCACGCAGAAACUAUGGGAGGUGAUGACUGCUUGUGUGAUCAUGCACAAUAUGAUCGUAGAAGACGAGCGUCCAGAACGUCUGUACGAUCAAGGCUUUCAGUUUCAGGGUGAGAAUGUUGUGCCUAAGCAUGGAGUAGCGGCAACAUUUGAGCAGUUCACUCAGUUUCAUGAAGACAUGCGUGAUUGGAAAACUCACGUGCAACUGUAA
rnacentral:rRNA from 1 species